CAAACGUCUACGUCACUCUCCUUUGAUCACACCCCCUCCCUCCCUUCCAGGAAGAACGAAACUACAUUUCCCAGGAUGCUCCUUGAUUUUUGACGUCAUCGAGGGAAAAAAUGUGCCCGAACCUGAAAGGGAGAAUUGCGAGGCAUCAAAGGCCAAGAGCUCCUCAGCCUCCUCCUGUCUAAGGCGGAGGCAAAGCGCAAUCUUUCCAGUGUGACUGCGUUGGUUGGAGCUGGGAGAAGGAAGAGAAAGUCAUUGGGCGCGGGAAUCUGCCACUCAAAGGGAGGAAGAGCGAAGGGACUCGCGAGGUCCGGUUUCCGUAGUAGCGACGGCGAGGCUUUGCUGAACCAGACAGGAUCUCUGCGGUUUGCCAGGCAGCCCUUCCCUGUGGAGCUUUGCCAUCUUCGCAGGAAGGGAAGGAAUUGCGUUGGUUGCUUUCUCCACGGAGAUGACUGAAAUCAGCCUGAAGUGCUGCAUGGGGGACUUAUGAGGCUGUGCAGCGUCGAGGCAAAGCACCUAAAACCGGGCGAGGCCGGGGUGGUGGGUGGGGGUUAUGAAUCGUGCGAGCGUCGCCAACAAGACUGGAAGAAAAACAACCGGAUUUCUGCGUUUGUGUCCGAUUCCAUAUUUGAAACCUUCUUUGCCUUUAUGCGCAUAGAUGCCUCUUUUGUUCUUCACGGUAAUACGUAACUUACUGGGUUUUUUUAUAAUAAAACGUACGCAAAAACGUC